rnacentral:rRNA from 1 species
CAGCAGCCGCGGGAAUACGUAGGGUGCGAGCGUUAAUCGGAAUUACUGGGCGUAAAGCGUGCGCAGGCGGUUAUAUAAGACAGAUGUGAAAUCCCCGGGCUCAACCUGGGACCUGCAUUUGUGACUGUAUAGCUAGAGUACGGUAGAGGGGGAUGGAAUUCCGCGUGUAGCAGUGAAAUGCGUAGAUAUGCGGAGGAACACCGAUGGCGAAGGCAAUCCCCUGGACCUGUACUGACGCUCAUGCACGAAAGCGUGGGGAGCAAACAGGAUUAGAGACCCGAGUAGUCCCUGUCUCUUAUAA